CAAUUUGAUCUGUGAUACAUGGAACUUCUUCAUUGGAGCCACAUAGCAUAUACUUCGUGAUGUUGUACCAGAUACCUGGAUACAUGCACAAUGGCACCCUGUGAAAUUGGUUUUUGAUGCAGUGCUUUCACAAAGCCAAAGGGAGUAUUUGGCCGAUGAUACCUGGGAAUUUGUAGAGCUGCAAGAACAGAUCACUAAAGGCUAUAUAAAUGUCUGGGCUCUUCAUAAGAAAGAUUUUAAUCAAUUGUGCCUAAAUUUAGGCCUACAAGCACUUCAGCCUUUUGACGCCGCUCGUGCUAGGAGUAGACCAUACAGAGGAUUUGUUUUUUUUU